GGUUUGAUCUUGGCUCAGAUUGAACGCUGGCGGCAGGCCUAACACAUGCAAGUCGGGCGGUAGAGAGAAGCUUGCUUCUCUUGAGAGCGGCGGACGGGUGAGUAAUGCCUAGGAAUCUGCCUGGUAGUGGGGGAUAACGCUCGGAAACGGACGCUAAUACCGCAUACGUCCUACGGGAGAAAGCAGGGGACCUUCGGGCCUUGCGCUAUCAGAUGAGCCUAGGUCGGAUUAGCUAGUUGGCGAGGUAAUGGCUCACCAAGGCGACGAUCCGUAACUGGUCUGAGAGGAUGAUCAGUCACACUGGAACUGAGACACGGUCCAGACUCCUACGGGAGGCAGCAGUGGGGAAUAUUGGACAAUGGGCGAAGGCCUGAUCCAGCCAUGCCGCGUGUGUGAAGAAGGUCUUCGGAUUGUAAAGCACUUUAAGUUGGGAGGAAGGGCAGUAAUUAAUACUUUGCUGUUUUGACGUUACCGACAGAAUAAGCACCGGCUAACUCUGUGCCAGCAGCCG
rnacentral:rRNA from 1 species